UACGUAGGGUGCGAGCGUUGUCCGGAAUUAUUGGGCGUAAAGAGCUCGUAGGCGGUUUGUCGCGUCUGCCGUGAAAGUCCGGGGCUCAACUCCGGAUCUGCGGUGGGUACGGGCAGACUAGAGUGAUGUAGGGGAGACUGGAAUUCCUGGUGUAGCGGUGAAAUGCGCAGAUAUCAGGAGGAACACCGAUGGCGAAGGCAGGUCUCUGGGCAUUAACUGACGCUGAGGAGCGAAAGCAUGGGGAGCGAACAGG
rnacentral:rRNA from 3 species